GCGCCCGUACUCCAAGGGAAGAGAGAAUGGCUUUAGGUGCCAUGUGUUGUCGGUUCGAAUCCGACCGGGCGUACCA
rnacentral:tRNA from 1 species